AGGGGGAUAACUACUGGAAACGGUAGCUAAUACCGCAUAACGUCUUCGGACCAAAGUGGGGGACCUUCGGGCCUCACACCAUCGGAUGUGCCCAGAUGGGAUUAGCUAGUAGGUGAGGUAAUGGCUCACCUAGGCGACGAUCCCUAGCUGGUCUGAGAGGAUGACCAGCCACACUGGAACUGAGACACGGUCCAGACUCCUACGGGAGGCAGCAGUGGGGAAUAUUGCACAAUGGGCGCAAGCCUGAUGCAGCCAUGCCGCGUGUGUGAAGAAGGCCUUCGGGUUGUAAAGCACUUUCAGCGAGGAGGAAGGGUUCGGUGUUAAUAGCACUGUUCAUUGACGUUACUCGCAGAAGAAGCACCGGCUAACUCCGUGCCAGCAGCCGCGGUAAUACGGAGGGUGCAAGCGUUAAUCGGAAUUACUGGGCGUAAAGCGCACGCAGGCGGUUUGUUAAGUCAGAUGUGAAAUCCCCGAGCUUAACUUGGGAACUGCAUUUGAAACUGGCAAGCUAGAGUCUUGUAGAGGGGGGUAGAAUUCCAGGUGUAGCGGUGAAAUGCGUA
rnacentral:rRNA from 1 species